rnacentral:rRNA from 1 species
AGAGUUUGAUCAUGGCUCAGGACGAACGCUGGCGGCGUGCCUAAUGCAUGCAAGUCGCACGCGCCACCUUCGGGUGGUGAGUGGCGCACGGCUGAGGAUCACGUGGGAACAUGCCUCUUGGUGGGGGACAACAGCGCGAAAGCGCUGCUAGUCCCGCAUACGCUCGCUUGCGAGGAAAGCGUGUAAACGCGCCGAGAGAGUGGCCCGCGGCCCAUCAGGUCGUAGGUGGGGUAACGGCCUACCUAGCCGAUGACGGGUAGCUGGUCUGAGAGGAUGAUCAGCCACACUGGGACUGAGACACGGCCCAGACUCCUACGGGAGGCAGCAGAGGGGAAUAUUGGACAAUGGGCGCAAGCCUGAUCCAGCCACGCCGCGUGAGUGAUGAAGGCCUUCGGGUCGUAAAGCUCUGUGGGGAGGGACGAACCGCUGUACGUUCAUAGCGUGCAGCAUGACGGUACCUCCUUAGCAAGCACCGGCUAACUUCGUGCCAGCAGCCGCGGUAAUAC